rnacentral:tRNA from 1 species
GGGGUUGUGGCCCAGUGGUAGAGUGCUCGCCUUGCAUGUGUGAGACCCUGGGUUCAAUCCUCAGCACCA